AAUGGGCGCAAGCCUGAUCCAGCCAUGCCGCGUGAGUGAUGAAGGCCCUAGGGUCGUAAAGCUCUUUCGCCAGGGAUGAUAAUGACAGUACCUGGUAAAGAAACCCCGGCUAACUCCGUGCCAGCAGCCGCGGUAAUACGGAGGGGGUUAGCGUUGUUCGGAAUUACUGGGCGUAAAGCGCGCGUAGGCGGAUUAGUCAGUUAGAGGUGAAAUCCCAGGGCUCAACCCUGGAACUGCCUUUAAUACUGCUAGUCUUGAGUUCGAGAGAGGUGAGUGGAAUUCCGAGUGUAGAGGUGAAAUUCGUAGAUAUUCGGAGGAACACCAGUGGCGAAGGCGGCUCACUGGCUCGAUACUGACGCUGAGGUGCGAAAGUGUGGGGAGCAAACAGGAUU
rnacentral:rRNA from 1 species